GCUGGGCCAGCAGGAAGUGGGCACACAUGGCAGCCAGCGUGGCGUGGCCAGAUGGCUAACGGCUUGUCUACACUAGCACACGGUAAAUUUUAAGAUGCUCUAAAACUCUCUGGUGACAAACAAACGUUUAUUCCCUGUUUCCAAUCGUCCACAUGGCUGGGAUAACCUAUUCAAGUUUUCUGUGCUCAGAUACAGAAGCCUGUCUGCAGAUGAAGAGGUCCCAAU